UAUAUCAUCUUUUGUAUUUUGAUGAUUAUAGAUGUAUUAAAGAUGUCAUAAAUAAUGUUAAAUGAAAAGGUUUAUUUUGGAGUUUAUGUGAUGUAAAAAAAAUAAUGCAAAAGAAUGUAAAAGAGUACAAAUGUAACAUGAGGUUGAAUGCAUGUAAGUGGUUAAAAGUUAAUUAUAUUACUUGUAUGUUGCUUAGUUAGUACUUUCACUUUGGCUACUGCUUGUCCUCGUGCAAGUCAAGUAU
rnacentral:lncRNA from 1 species